UCCCUGUUGCCAGGGCAGUCUAGCUAGAAAAAUUCAACUAACUAUAAGGGUUGCGCUCGUUGAUGGACUUAACCAAACAUCUCACGACACGAGCUGACGACGGCCAUGCAACACCUGUCACUGCGGCCCGAAGGCACAUUUUGCUUUCGCAAAACUUGGCAGGAUGUCAAGCCUGGGUAAGGUUCUUCGCUUACCAUCGAAUUAAACAACACGCUCCACCGCUUGUGCGGGUCCCCGUCAAUUCCUUUAUGUUUUAAGCUUGCGCUCGUACUCCACAGGCGGGAUGCUUAACGCGUUAGCUUCGCUACUACACGGGUCGAUACGUAUAACAGCUAGCAUCCAUAGUUUACAGCGUGGACUAC
rnacentral:misc_RNA from 1 species